GCAAGGGAGAGUCACAGGGGGGAAUUGCUAUAUAUAUUUAAAGCCUAUCAAUCAAAGACUUUCUAACUACUUGUGUCUGACUGUGUGUGUGUGUGUGUUUGUAUCUGACUGUGUGUGUUUGUGUCUGACUGUGUGUGUGUGUGUCUGACUGUGUGUGUGUGUGUGUGUCUGACUGUGUGUGUGUGUUUGUGUCUGACUGUGUGUGUGUGUGUGUUUGUGUCUGACUGUGUGUGUCUGACUGUGUGUGUGUGCCUGACUGUGUGUGUGUGUGUGUGUGUGUGUUUGUGUCUGAUUGUAAGUGUGUGUGUGUGUCUGACUGUGUGUGUGUGUGUCUGACUGUGUGUGUGUGUGUCUGACUGUGUGUGUGUGUGUUUGUGUCUGACUGUGUGUUUGUGUGUGUGUCUGACUGUGUGUUUGUGUCUGAUUGUGUGUGUGUGUUGUGUCUGACUGUGUGUGUUUGUGUCUGACUGUGUGUGUUGUGUCUGACUGUGUGUUUGUGUGUCUGACUGUGUGUGUGUGUGUGUCUGACUGUGUGUGUGUGUUUGUGUCUGACUGUGUGUGUGUGUGUGUGUCUGACUGUGUGUGUCUGUGUGUGUGUUUGUCUGUGUGUGUUUGACUGUGUGUGUAUUUGUGUCUGACUGUGUGUGUGUGUCUGACUGUGUGUGUGUCUGACUGUGUGUGUAUGUAUUUAGAAGGUGGGGCGGGGGGGAAGGGUUGGGUGGGGGUGGCGCAGGGGGGGUGUUCAGGAUACACCACUGAACUACUCCAUAUAGAAUCUAUUAUAUAUGUGGACACUUAUUUCCUCAAGUUAGUUCUGCCUUUGUGUUAUUAUAAUUAAACAGUGUCCUAUAAGGGCCAAACAUAGAUUAAUGCCAUAAUAGACAAGAUGCAUGCAUCAAUAAACAUAUAUCAUAGAUUCUGCACUCAAAAACCUUAAUUGAUGGCAUUGCCAUAUUAACAUACCUGGCAAAAUUACAAAAUCAGUGUUCAGAGAUCCUAAAGAGGAAGGGAAUGUAAGCACCAGAUGUAGAAUGAUCCAAACAAAAGUGGUUGGAAUUAUCCCAAAAUGGAUGUGAAUUUCUUUACAAUGUGACGAGAAACAAUGAUUUGGGGUUGGCCCAAAUGCAAUGCAGGCAGUGAAUACUACUCUGCCAAGCACUUAGGUUAAAAACCCAGAAUCUUGGAGGCUUGUACUGUCUGCAAAGUACCACCAGCUUAACAGUCUUGCUGUUAACUUUUUGUAACCUAAUGCUAAUAACAGUUGCCACUAUAGAUACCAACCACUCAUAUUUUAAUGGCAUAUUUUUGCUGGUAAUGUACAAAAACACACAUCUGAGAAAGUGCAUUUCACCCUGGAUGUCAAGUAGCGACAGGAUUUCCAAAGUGGAAAACAACUGGCAAAAGGGAAAAGAAGUUCUUUUAAGAGUUCCAAGCAUGAUACCCCGACUCUUAUAUUUUAACUCUAUAUAUGCCUGUCCCCAUUGUGGAAGGUCACAAUAUGUUUUAAGUGUAUACUUAUAAACAAAAAAAGAGAAAUAUAAAAAGAGAAUUCCCGAGACACACUGUUGGAUUUUCAGAAGCCAUUUUUUUACAAUUUGUUUUCACAAAAUCAAGUACAUACAUACAUAAGGGCAUCACUGGCCAUGCUCCAGCUUUUUGGGGUCUUUAUAAAGCAUGAAACAUUGCCAGUUCGUUAAAUUGGUGAAAUAAAGGUUUACCCAUGUUAAACCUUCUAUUUCCUAGAAUGAUUGGGCCAGGAUGAUAUGACAACAAAGGUUGAAAAAGAUGAUAUGUGAACCAGGGGAGUAUUAGCCGCGAGGCAAACAAGGCAUUUGCCUUGGGCGGCUUUUUUCAGGGGGCGGCAAAAAACGCCGCCCCCAAAUGCCCAGGGCAAAUGCCUAGUUAGCCUUGCGGCUAACUGAC
rnacentral:lncRNA from 1 species